AUUGAACGCUGGCGGCAGGCCUAACACAUGCAAGUCGAGCGGAUGACGGGAGCUUGCUCCUUGAUUCAGCGACGGACGGGUGAGUAAUGCCUAGGAAUCUGCCUGGUAGUGGGGGACAACGUUUCGAAAGGAACGCUAUUACCGCAUACGUCCUACGGGAGAAAGCAGGGGACCUUCGGGCCUUGCGCUAUCAGAUGAGCCUAGGUCGGAUUAGCUAGUAGGUGAGGUAAUGGCUCACCUAGGCGACGAUCCGUAACUGGUCUGAGAGGAUGAUCAGUCACACUGGAACUGAGACACGGUCCAGACUCCUACGGGAGGCAGCAGUGGGGAAUAUUGGACAAUGGGCGAAAGCCUGAUCCAGCCAUGCCGCGUGUGUGAAGAAGGUCUUCGGAUUGUAAAGCACUUUAAGUUGGGAGGAAGGGUUGUACGUUAAUACCGUGCAAUUUUGACGUUACCGACAGAAUAAGCACCGGCUAACUCUGUGCCAGCAGCCGCCGCCG
rnacentral:rRNA from 1 species